GGGCCACUUCUUUUUUGCAAAACUGAAAUCUUUUCAAGGCUUGGUAGUCUUACUGAUCUCGUGGGGCUUCACCUUGAACACUUUCCGCGCUUCAGCAAUCUUGAUCCUCUAGCUUGCCUUAAGCCCCUUCAGUUGCAAUUUAUUCCGACGGAUAUUGAACUUCGACAGCGAGACACUGCCGUACCUUAUUCUGAGUUACACCUGUAAACUUCGAGGCAUCGAGCCACUAAAGCAUGCAGCAGAGGACAAGUUAAACUAAAGGAGUUGACUCUUGAAGCCAAUUUCAAUAUAAGAAACCUCAAAAGCUUAACUACUCUUAACCUUGAGCUCACCGAGUUGAAUUGCUGGUAUUGUUCUCGUCUAAAGGAGGUUUUGGUUCUCCUUAACUUCGUUAUUUUUUGCAUGCGCAGAA